rnacentral:rRNA from 1 species
UACGUAGGGUGCGAGCGUUGUCCGGAAUUAUUGGGCGUAAAGAGCUCGUAGGCGGUUUGUUGCGUCGGCUGUGAAAUCCCGAGGCUCAACCUCGGGUCUGCAGUCGAUACGAGCAAACUAGAGUGUUGCAGGGGAGACUGGAAUUCCUGGUGUAGCGGUGAAAUGCGUAGAUAUCUGGAGGAAUACCGGUGGCGAAGGCGGCAUCCUGGACCGACAUUGACGCUGAUGAGCGAAAGCUAGGGGAGCAAACGGG